CGUCUCUCUGUGACUGGCCUGGCUGAGCGCCAGGCGAACCCGGAAACUGAGGGGCCGGCAUCUCCGGGAAAGCUUCUUCCUCCCCUCCCUGGUUCAUUGACUCGCUGUUAAGCCUGAUUUCCCACCACUCCUUCCAGCCCCAAAGACCUGGAGCGCCUGCCAACUAGGACUGCUGGCCAGCCCCCAAAUGCUUCCCAUAUUUUACCUCUCCGUGCCUAUGGUCGUGCCAUUCCCUCAGCCUCAAUGCCCUCUUGCCCCACUUCUACUGGCUGAAAUUCUAGCUCCUUGUCAAGACUCAGCUUACAUGUUGGGAAGUAGUAAAAGUUGUAAAAGCCCCCAAGACCCACGAAUGUGUCCCCCUCUCCUUACUCAGAGCCCUCUAGCACUUGGCUCCCACCUCUCCUGGGAAACAUCACAUUCUCUUCUGCUGUGUGCCAUUGAGAAGAUAAGCUUUGGGCCAGGCGUGGUGACUCACGCCUGUAAUCCCAACACUUUGGGUGGCCGACGCAGGUGGAUCACUUGAAGUCAGGAGUUGGAGACCAGCCUGGCCAACAUGGCAAAACCCUGUCUCUACUAAAAAUACAAAAAUUAGUUGGGCGUGUUGGCACAUGCCUAUAAUCCCAGUGACUCAGGAGACUGAGGCAUCAGAAUCGCUUGAACCCACGAGGCAGAGGUUGCAGUGAGCCGAGAUCAUGCCACUGCACUCCAGUCUGGGUGACAGAGCGAGACUCUGUCUCAAAAGAGAUAGAGAGAAGAUAUGCCUUAAGUCCAGAGAUAAUCUUGAUGAUCUCUUAUGACGUUGUUUCUGGAACAGAGACUGGUACACAAGGAAUACUUGCUGCUCAGUGAUUGUGAAAUAAACAUUGACUGACUUUGUCCAGUCUUCAUUUAAUCUUCACAACAACCCUAUGAGAAAACUGAAGUACAGCUAGUAAGUGAUGAUGCUGGCAUUCACACUAGGAAGCUUCCUAAGUACUAAGGCAGUUCUCCUAACUGCUGAACUUUCGCUGAGGGCCAGUCCAAUCCUACAAAGGCUUCCCAAGCCAUUCUCUAGCAAGUGCACUGUGAGAACAAAAAAUGAACAAGACCCACUCCUACCCUCCAGAUCUAGUGAGGGAGAAACUCAGAAGUCUCAGAUGGAAGUUGGGGGGUGAUCAAGGAAGAUUGCACAAUGGAGAUGGCAUUUGAAUCAGUCCUUGAAGAGGUAAAAUGUCAGCAGCUGGAGGGACAUGCAGGAAACAGAAAUGACCUCACCUUGAGCUGAGAUCUGUUCCCUGAGUCAGCCCUUGGCUCCAGAAGCCCCAGUCACCAUUCCUCGAACAUGUUCUAGAGUUCCUCCAAGAUGCAGGUCACUCUCCUCUGGAAAAGCCCUUUUUCCUUGUCCCUUGCACUGUGUAGUGCCCAGAGAUACCAUCAGCAAAGUAUGUUUGGACAAGACGGUGGGAAAACUUUGCCACUCAGGAGAAGAAUCUAGAAAGUGCACCCUUAUCUGUAAUAACAAGCACUAUCCAAUCCAGGUGUGCUUCACUCUAAGGAAAAAAAAAAAGAUUUUAAAAUCAAGAGGCCAGGUGCGGUGGCUCACUCCUGUAAUCGCAGCACUUUGGGAGGCAGAGGUGGGUGGAUCGCCUGAGGUCAGGAGUUUGAGACCAGCCUGGCCAAUAUGGUGAAACCCCAUCUCUCCUAAAAGUAACAAAAAUUAGCCAGGGGUGGUGGUGUGCAUCUGUAGUCCCAGCUACUCAGGACGCUGAGGCAGGAGAAUCACUUGAACCUGGGAGGCGGAGAUUGCAGUGAUCCAAGAUCGCACCACUGCACUCCAACCUGGGUGACAGAGCGAGACUCUGUGUCAAAUAAAUAAAUAAUAAAAUCAAGAUAGCAAUUUUUAAGUGAAUAAAUCAGCAAAACAGAAUAUACAUUAUUCACAUACCAAAUGUUUAUUUUUUGUUACAAAAGAAAUUCAUUUCAACAGUUUUCCUACUUUAUUUAAAAUAUUAUUUUCAUUAAAGAUAUGAUUGGCAAAGGGUUCAUCCCUAUCUCUAAGUUAGGAAAAGAUCCAACAAAUUGGUAAAGAAGGUAUUAGGACUUUAGUAAAUAAAUGGGAAAAGGGGACUGGGCGCGGUGGCUCACGCCUGUAAUCCCAGCACUUUGGGAGGCAGAGGUGGGUGGAUCACGAGGUCCGGAGUUCAAGACCAGCCUGGCCAAGAUGGUGAAAGCCUGUCUCUACUAAAAAUACAAAAAAUUAGCUGGGCGUGGUGGCGGGUACCUGUAAUCCCAGCUACAAAGGAGGCUGAGGCAGAGAACUGCUUGAACCUGGGAGGCCGAGGUUGCAGUGAGCCGAGAUCGUGCCACUGCACUCCAGCCUGGGCGACAGAGUAAGACUCUGUCUCAAACAAAACAAAACAAAAAACAUAGGCCGGGCAUGGUGGCUCAUUCCUGUAAUCCCAGCACUUUUGGAGGCCGAGGCGGGCAGAUCACAAGGUCAGGAGGUCAAGACCAGCCUGGUUAACAUAGUAAAACCCCCUCUCUACUAAAAAUACAAAACUUAGGGAGGCAUGGUGGUGCACACCUGUAGUCCCAGCUACUGGGGAGGCUGAGGCAGGAGAAUCACUUGAACCUGGGAGGUGGAAGUUGCAGUGAGGCGAGAUCACACCACUGCACUCCAGCCUGGGUGACUGAGUAAGACUCCGUCUCGGGAAAAAAAAAAACAAAACAAAACGGGAAAAGGACCUGAAUAAUCAAUUCACAGCCAAAUAAACUUUUAAAUAAAUGUUCAAUCUUAACAAUAGUCAAAUGCAUGCAAAUUUCUAAAAAAAAUUAUUUUUAUUUAAAAAUAUUAAUAAAAUGCAAUGCCUUAUACCAUCCAAUUUAUGGCGCACUGCUUGGCUGGCCUUAUACAUUUCCACAAUCUCUUUGGAAAACAGUUUAGCAAUGUGUCUUAAGAGAGACAUUAACUGUUCUUACUCUUUCACCUAGUAAAUCCAUUCCUGAGAAUUAAACUCUUGGGGAAAAAAAUCCAGAAAGAAAAAGCCAUCAACACAAAGAUAUUCAUUAUACAAUUAUCCUUAAUUUUGAAAACUAAAAAGAGAAAAAAGCAGUCUAAAUGAUUAACAGAAGAAAUGGUUAUGUAAUUUAGGGGAAAUGAAUGAAGUGGACCAUCAUGCAGCCUUCAAAAGUGAUCAAUGGCCUGGCAUGGUGGUUCACAUCUGCAAUCCCAGCACUUUGGGAGGCCGAGGUGAUCACUUGAGGCCAGGAGUUGAAGACCAGCCUGGGCAACAUAGCAAGACAUAGUCUCUACAAAAUAUAAAAAUUUAGCCAGGCAUGGUGGCAUGUACCUGUAGUCCCAGCCACUUGGGAGGCUGAGGUGGAAGGCUCACUUGAGCCCAGGAGUUAGAGGCUACAGUGAGCCAUGAUUGCACCACUGCACUCCAGCCUGGAUGACAGAGGAAGACCUUAUCUCUAAAAAUAAAAUUAAAAAAUAAUUUUUUUUUUUGAGAUGGAGUCUGGCUCUGUCGCCCAGGCUGGAGUGCAGUGGCGCUGUCUUGGCUCACUGCAAGCUCCGCCUCCUGGGUUCACGCCAUUCUCCUGCGUUCAUGCCAUUCUCCUGCCUCAGCCUCCCAAGUAGCUGGAACUACAGGCGCCCGCCACCAUGCUCAGCUAAUUUUUUGUAUUUUUAGUAGAGACAGGGUUUCACCAUGUUAGCCAGGGUGGUCUUGAUCUCCUGACCUCGUGAUCCGCCUGCCUCGGCCUCCCAAGUGCUGGGAUUACAGGCAUGAGCGACCGCGCCUGGCCAAAAAAAACAUUUUUAAAGUGAGUAUUAUGAAGACUUUAGCAUCUUGAUAAAUGUUUAUGGUUGAAUGUUCAGAAAAAAAUAAAAAUUUAAACUAUUAUCUAUGUUCUCUUAUAACUUCUUUUUAUAUGUGAACAAAGAGUAGAAGGAAACCUGCUCCCUCCCACAGAAUUCCCCCACCCAAUAAAAUUCAACUCCAGCCUUCUAGUUGCUGAGGCCAAAAGCCUGAAGAUGAGCUGUUUUCAAAAUAGGUUCAGUUUUGGACACUUUUCCCCUUGGCAGCUGCUGCCACCAGGGUCCAAGUCAGAGUUACCUCUUGCCUGAACCAACACAGUGGCCCCCAAACUGGCUUCCCUACUUCUACCCCUUAAAAUCCAUCUCCUGCCAGAGGGAUUGUGUUCAAACAUAAGACAGAUACAUCCUUCUCUGCCCAAAGCUGCCAGCGACAUCCUGUCUCUCUCCAAGUAAAAGGCAAUGCCCUGGCAGUGCCCCAUAAAGCCCUAAAGGGUCUAGUCCUGCUAGCCCCUCUCUGAGCUUCUCCCCCACCACUGUCUCCCUUGAAGCCGACCUACCUCCUUGCUGUUCUUUAAUCGGCCAUGCUUCCUCCCACUGCAGGGCCUUUGCACUUACUGCUCCCAAUGCCUGGAAUGCUUUUCCAUAUGGCUUGUUCCAUCAGCCACUCCCCAUCUCCCCUCUCCCAGACCCUGGCAACCACCAAUCUCUUUUACAUCCCAAUGUAUUCACCUACUCUGGGCAUUUCAUAUAAACGGAGUCAUAAAAUA